AUGCGAUUCUGCAAACAUCAGGAUGCAGCUGUUUUCUGUGUAAUGAGGAAGCACCGACUAGGUACAAAUACUAUAUUUUUUUAUUCCCUCAAAAAUGGUCUAUGCUGCGAACACAACGUAGGCUACCUUGUGGGGCUGUGGAGAGGCAUCCAGCUGCAGCCUCGCAGACUCACUUCUUGCAGACACCAGUGGCUGGACACCAGUGGAUGGACAGCAGACGUCAUUUCCGUAUCGUCAUUCACUUUUCAAUUUUAACACGCCAUGUAGAUGUCAGCGGCAAAUCACAUUAGUGUGCGUAAAGGGACGGAGCUACCACCAAUACAGAAAUGCACAUAGUGCUGCAGCCGGUAUCACUGCCCGCUGUGCAAUUCAAACACAGUGGGGUACUGUGGAAACGGAAGACGUGGAGACCUUUGAAGGAUUUAUACAGACCCUGAAUUUCGUGAGCAUUGCCCAGACUGCUAGUUUUAGGGGGCAGGAAUGAGGUGUGGUGUGCACAGUGUGCAAUAGUUUAUUUGGAACUGUUCAUGUUUUAUUUUCUCUUGAAAUAGUGACUUCCCCCACAACCUUACGGGCCUGACUGUGGCAUCUUCAUUCUGAUGGUCAGAUUUGACAAAUUUUACUAAUUAGAUUGUGUAAUUUCAAAUAAAUAUUGCAAAACCAUGAAGUGUUUAUUUGAUCUGGAUUGUUUGGUAAAUUGUCUGAUCAUGUGAAUCUACGUAUAUAUUUUAAAAACAGAAGUGGUUACAUUUACAAAAAAAAAGAAAAAUAAAGGAUUGAAUAUCCAAAUGGGCAAGGCAAAAAAACUGUGGUCCA